rnacentral:sRNA from 2 species
UUUUAGCCCUGAUGGCAGCGGCAUCCUGUUAUUGCGAUUUUAAGAUUGCUUUGUCCCUCGCAAUGACAGAUACAGCGAACAGCAGGAAUAGCU